rnacentral:rRNA from 1 species
UACGAAGGGGGCGAGCGUUGUUCGGAUUUACUGGGCGUAAAGGGCGCGUAGGCGGCCUUGUCAGUCAGGCGUGAAAGCCCCGGGCUCAACCUGGGAACGGCGCUUGGGACGGCGAGGCUGGAGUUCGGGAGAGGAGAGUGGAAUUCCCAGUGUAGAGGUGAAAUUCGUAGAUAUCGGGAGGAACACCGGUGGCGAAGGCGGCGAUCUGGGUCGAUACUGACGCUGAGGUGCGAAAGCGUGGGGAGCAAACAGG